CCUACGGGAGGCAGCAGCGAGGAAUUUUGGGCAAUGGGCGAAAGCCUGACCCAGCAACGCCGCGUGGGGGACGAAGGCCUUCGGGUUGUAAACCCCUUUUGCCAGGGACGAUGGUGACGGUACCUGGCGAAUAAGCCUCGGCUAACUACGUGCCAGCAGCCGCGGUAAUACGUAGGAGGCGAGCGUUGUCCGGAUUUACUGGGCGUAAAGCGCGUGUAGGCGGGAGGGCCAGUCUCCUGUGAAAUCUCCCGGCUCAACGGGGAGGAGUCAGGAGAUACUACCCUUCUUGAGGGCAGCAGAGGGAAGUGGAAUUCCCGGUGGAGGGGUAAAAUGCGUAGAUAUCGGGAGGAACACCAGUGGCGAAGGCGGCUCCCGGGGCUGUUCCUGACGCUGAGACGCGAAAGCGUGGGGAGCAAACCGGAUUAGAUCCCCCUGUAGU
rnacentral:rRNA from 1 species